UACGUAGGGCGCAAGCGUUAUCCGGAAUUAUUGGGCGUAAAGAGCUCGUAGGCGGUUUGUCGCGUCUGCCGUGAAAGCCCGGGGCUUAACCCCGGGUCUGCAUUCGAUACGGGCAGGCUAGAGUGUGGUAGGGGAGAUCGGAAUUCCUGGUGUAGCGGUGAAAUGCGCAGAUAUCAGGAGGAACACCGGUGGCGAAGGCGGAUCUCUGGGCCAUUACUGACGCUGAGGAGCGAAAGCGUGGGGAGCGAACAGG
rnacentral:rRNA from 1 species